CCUCGUCUCCCUGCUCCUCAGCGCGGGAACCGCUCGAGUUUGAGACGGUGUCUGUGUAGUGUCCCGCGCUGGAGGAGGCGCUGUCACGUCUGGGCCAGCCUCGAAGCUGAGGCCUUAAUUAGAGCGAGGGGAGUAGGGUGGCGCGGCACCUGCGCCGGGGAUGGAGACCCCUGGGACUGGGGAUGAAGGAUCCGCACCUUGGGCGUCCUUGGAAGCACCCGCCCGCCUUCUGCUGCAGGCAUUGCAGGCUGGGCCGGAGGGGGCGCGGCGCGGCCUCGGGGUGCUGCGGACGCUGGGUCGCCGCGGUGGGGAGCCCUUCGACUGGGGCCGCUUCCUGGAGGCUCUGUGCCAAGAGGAGCCAGUCCUUUGGGGACCCGACGCCCGCCUGGAGCUGAAACCACUGUUGCUGCGAUUGCCCACAUUAUGCCGGAGGAAUCUGAUGUCCCUGCUGAUGGCUGUUCGGCCGUCACUGCCUGAAAGCAGGCUCCUGUCUCUGCUGCGGAUUGCCCAACAGGACUCAGUCUCUGCUCCUGAUGCCUGGCUCCAAUCCCUGGGAACACUGCUACAAAGGGAUCUGGGGAUUGGAGUGUCUCUUGAGGGAGCCUCUCCAUUGUCCGAAGGGUGCCAGAGACAGCUCCAAGGCCUGUGUAGGCAGCUGGGCCAGGAGGGCAGGAGGUUGAAAUUGCCCCAGGCUGCAGACCCUGAAGGGAAAGAGGAGGAGGAGGAGGACAGGAACUCACAGCAUCGUGGGAAACGCAGAAAGGAGCCAGAGGAAGAGCCUGCCAGUCCUGAGGGGGAGAGGGCCCCCAAAAGGUCCCGGGAUUGGGAGGGGGAAGAAGAUCACAAGGAUGAGAGUCUUGAACACCAGUCAUUGGAAUCCCUGGGUGAUGGAGGAACCACAUCACCUACUAAGAACCAGCUGGAUGUGGGAGCUGAGACCAGUGAGGCUGGCCUGAGUCUGGAGGAAGCCAAGGGUCUUGCUACAAGCAUGAAGUUGCCCAAAGCUGUCCAGGACCAGGUGCCCAGGCUGCAGCAGCUGCUGAAGACCUUCAGGGAGGGAAUGGAUCGGUUAGAGGCUGCCCCACCAAGUGAGCUGCAACUUUUCCAUGAGUGUAGUUCCAGCCAGAUGGAGCUGCUGUGUGUCCAGCUGCAGCUCCCCCAGCUCUCAGCAGCAGGCCUCCUGCAGCUCUGCACCUGGCUGCUGGCCCUGUCCCCAGACCUCAGUCUCAGCAGUGCCACUGUGCUGACCAGGAGCCUCUUUCUUGAACGGAUCCUCUCCCUGACUUCUUCUGCUUCCCGGCUGCUCAGGACGGCCCUGACUUCAUUCUGUGCCAAGUACACCUACCCCGUCUGCAGCGCCCUCCUUGUCCCCCUUCUCCAGGCCCCAGGCAUAGGUCCAGCUCAAACAGAGUUACUGUGUGGCCUAAUGAAGGACGAGUCCCUGGAGCCGGACACACAGGGCCUAAUGCUGGGGGCCACUUCUCCGCAGGCAGAUCUUAGAGCUGUCCUGGAGGGAGGAGACUUUCCUGGUGUUGCAGUCACUCUUGGAGCGGCAGGUAGAGAUGACCCCAGAGAAGUUCAGUGUCUUGAUGGAGAAGCUCUGUAAAGAGGGGCUGACAGCCACCACCUCCCUGGCCUAUGCCAAGCUCGUGCUGACGGUGAUGACCAAGUACCAGGCUCAUAUCACUGAGGCCCAGAAGCUGGACCUGGCCAUGGUCCUAGAGUCCAACACCACCUUCCUGAGGAAGUCCCUGCAGGCUUCCUUGAAACAUCUGGGCCACUGACCAUCCAGCAAGGGAUCACCUCCUGGAGCUCUGACACCAGUUUCCUGAAGGAGAUUUUGCCCUCAGCACCUCUCCCUGACUCCUUGCCUCAGACUGAUCCCCACCGAUCCAGAUUGACCAACUGCCUCCCUGUUCCAGGCUGCAGAGGCCACCCAGUCAGGAGGGAGAGCUCUGGGGUGAAGGGAGGGGGCUGAAUGAACUGUUUGCCAGGGCUGCUGGCCCUGGGCUUGCUCCUCAUCACCUCUGAGGCUGCAGAAAUGGAAACUUUCUGACAGGCCUAAGUAGUCAAUGGCGAUGCUCAGUGGGGUCAAUGAUAGACACACAGUGCUGGAGGGGACCUGGGCCACCUCUGUGCUCAGCACAGCUCUCUUAGGCUCAGGUAUGUUAUGACCCUCUGUCUUUGUUUUCUAAUUUGAAUAAAUUAUCAAUAGCGUUUAAUAAAAAGCAGGUGGUUUAAUGAUGU